AUGGACUCCUCUCCAGGCUUCGUGACUGCGAUGCUCCUCAUACUCACAAGGGUGCAUGGAGAAUCUGUGACUCAGAUGCAAGGUCAAGUGGUCCUCUCAGAAGGCGACUUUCUAUUUAUAAACUGCACUUAUUCAGCUGCAGGGUACCCAACCCUGUCCUGGUAUGUGCAGUAUCCUGGAGAAGGUCCACAGCUCCUCUUUAGAGCCUCAAAGGCCAAUGAUAAGGGAAGCAGCAGAGAAUUUGAAGCCACAUAUGAUAAAGAGACCACCUCCUUCCACCUGCAGAAAUCCUCAGUGCAAGAGUCAGACUCGGCUGUGUACUACUGUGUACUGGGUGACACAGUGGCAGACACUGCAGGGGGAGCUGAGCACAAACUCAGCACCAGAGGCCUGACUGCUGAGCUCCUGACUCUCAGAUUGAAUUGA